rnacentral:lncRNA from 1 species
UUAAAACAUAUAUCUUAAAAAUAAAAGGUUUAACUUAAUUACAAAGUAUAAUUUGAUCAACAUAUUUGAUUAAUAAAAUAAAAAUAGAUAUUAAAAGUUAACCAACGCAAAGAAAAUAACCUAUCUUUUGGGGAAUCUAAUUAAGUUAAUUAAAAAUUAUAAAGUUAGAGUUAAAUGACAAAUAAUAAAUAAUCACAAUUAAAUAAUUAAAGAGUAAGAGAGAAAUUGAAUUUNNN